AAAAAGAUAAGCUAAAUAAUAAGCUAAUAGGUUCAUACCCUAUUUAUAGAGUUGAUACUCUUCUUUUUA
rnacentral:tRNA from 1 species